rnacentral:rRNA from 1 species
UACGUAGGGGGCAAGCGUUGUCCGGAAUUAUUGGGCGUAAAGCGCGCGCAGGCGGCUCUGUAAGUCUGGUGUUUAAACCCGAAGCUCAACUUCGGGUCGCAUUGGAAACUGCAAGGCUUGAGUGCAGAAGAGGAAAGUGGAAUUCCACGUGUAGCGGUGAAAUGCGUAGAGAUGUGGAGGAACACCAGUGGCGAAGGCGACUUUCUGGGCUGUAACUGACGCUGAGGCGCGAAAGCGUGGGGAGCAAACAGG